rnacentral:rRNA from 1 species
GACGAACGCUGGCGGCGUGCCUAAUACAUGCAAGUAGAACGCUGAAGAGAGGAGCUUGCUCUUCUUGGAUGAGUUGCGAACGGGUGAGUAACGCGUAGGUAACCUGCCUUGUAGCGGGGGAUAACUAUUGGAAACGAUAGCUAAUACCGCAUAACAAUGGAUGACACAUGUCAUUUAUUUGAAAGGGGCAAUUGCUCCACUACAAGAUGGACCUGCGUUGUAUUAGCUAGUAGGUGAGGUAAUGGCUCACCUAGGCGACGAUACAUAGCCGACCUGAGAGGGUGAUCGGCCACACUGGGACUGAGACACGGCCCAGACUCCUACGGGAGGCAGCAGUAGGGAAUCUUCGGCAAUGGGGGCAACCCUGACCGAGCAACGCCGCGUGAGUGAAGAAGGUUUUCGGAUCGUAAAGCUCUGUUGUAAGUCAAGAACGGGUGUGAGAGUGGAAAGUUCACACUGUGACGGUAGCUUACCAGAAAGGGACGGCUAACUACGUGCCAGCAGCCGCGGUAAUACGUAGGUCCCGAGCGUUGUCCGGAUUUAUUGGGCGUAAAGCGAGCGCAGGCGGUUUGAUAAGUCUGAAGUUAAAGGCUGUGGCUCAACCAUAGUUCGCUUUGGAAACUGUCAAACUUGAGUGCAGAAGGGGAGAGUGGAAUUCCAUGUGUAGCGGUGAAAUGCGUAGAUAUAUGGAGGAACACCGGUGGCGAAAGCGGCUCUCUGGUCUGUAACUGACGCUGAGGCUCGAAAGCGUGGGGAGCGAACAGGAUUAGAUACCCUGGUAGUCCACGCCGUAAACGAUGAGUGCUAGGUGUUGGAUCCUUUCCGGGAUUCAGUGCCGCAGCUAACGCAUUAAGCACUCCGCCUGGGGAGUACGACCGCAAGGUUGGAACUCAAAGGAAUUGACGGGGGCCCGCACAAGCGGUGGAGCAUGUGGUUUAAUUCGAAGCAACGCGAAGAACCUUACCAGGUCUUGACAUCCCGAUGCUAUUUCUAGAGAUAGAAAGUUACUUCGGUACAUCGGUGACAGGUGGUGCAUGGUUGUCGUCAGCUCGUGUCGUGAGAUGUUGGGUUAAGUCCCGCAACGAGCGCAACCCCUAUUGUUAGUUGCCAUCAUUCAGUUGGGCACUCUAGCGAGACUGCCGGUAAUAAACCGGAGGAAGGUGGGGAUGACGUCAAAUCAUCAUGCCCCUUAUGACCUGGGCUACACACGUGCUACAAUGGUUGGUACAACGAGUUGCGAGUCGGUGACGGCGAGCUAAUCUCUUAAAGCCAAUCUCAGUUCGGAUUGUAGGCUGCAACUCGCCUACAUGAAGUCGGAAUCGCUAGUAAUCGCGGAUCAGCACGCCGCGGUGAAUACGUUCCCGGGCCU